ACAAAAACUUUUACUUGAACUUGAUUGACAUUCCAUUUUUAUAUUUUUUUGACAUUACAUCAAAAUUGCCUUAACGGUCAAUACGAACUGCAGUGCCUUAAAAAUAUUUUAACCCUGCUGUCCUGUUCGGGUCUAUUUGACACAAGAAUCUUCAGGUCGAGCAAGUCUCGUAAAUUUCACGAUUGCGAGCCACGCUUCACGCAACCGUGUUUGCGUACUUGUGUUUCGAGUUGCGUGGUCGUGCGGAGUUAUAUUUACCAAAUUUAAAUAUAAUCGUUUUCAAAAUUAAAUCAAUAUGGCUACUGGGUGUAAAAGAUAAAUCUUAUUCUAUCUGUUCUUAAUGAGUUUUAGAUAAUUUUAGUUGUAUUUCUUUGUAAUUUUGUGUUGUACAAAGAUUAAUUUAACAUUUUCUCUAGAAGUAUUAAUUUAGAAAGAUAAUAUGCUUCAUUGGUGUUGUGUUUUGAAGUGUAAAAUGCAAAGUAAUUGUGAUAAAGUCAAGAUAAAGUUCACUUUUAAACUGAACUAAAUAAGGUAUCUGAGAGACAACAAUGGUUAAAUGCAAUACAAUGUACAGGUUUUACUAGCGAAAUGAAAAUUUUCCUGUCCUGUCUGCUGUAAUCAUUUUAUAUCUGGAAAACCAGCCGACUUAAUCGAUAAUAACAAUCUCCAGAUUGGGUUCCUUCAAUAAAUAUGGUCUAUAAACACUAUGAAAUAAGUUCCCCAAACUCUAAAAUGGAGUGGUAUCAAAGGAGAAUUAAAGGGAAAAAUAUUCAUAUUGAAAUUAUUUAUAAGGCACUGGACUGUCUUAAAUUCUACAAUAAUACUAGAAUCAGCUGAGAGAAGUGGUCUACAAAAAACCAGGAAGGAAACGGAAUAUGUGGCUACGUAAGGCAAAAGAAAGGUUUACAAAGCAAAUGUGACACAUCUUUUUGAAAUAUUUAGGAAUAUCAGUAAAUUGCAUUGAAAAAAUGUAUGAAAAGAUUUUGUUCAAUAAAAAUGUUUAUAUUUA
rnacentral:lncRNA from 1 species